rnacentral:rRNA from 1 species
AGUGAACGCUGGCGGUAGGCCUAACACAUGCAAGUCGAACGGCAGCACAGUAAGAGCGUGCUCUUACGGGUGGCGGGAGGCGGGCGGGUGAGGAAUACAUCGGAAUCUACUUUUUCGUGGGGGUUAACGUAGGGGAAGUUACUAUAAUACCGCAUACGACCUACGGGGGAAAGGAUGGGAACGUCGGAGCUUGCGCGAAUGGAUGAGCCGAUGUCGGAUUAGCUAGUUGGCGGGGUAAAGGCCCACCAUGGCGAGGAUCGGUAGCCGGACGGUGAGGAUGGUCACCGACACGGGAACUGGGCCACGGUCCAGACUCCUGCGGGAGGCAGCAGUGUGGUAUAUUGGACAAUGGUGGGAAGCAUUGCACAGCCGGCCCGCGUGUGUGGAGAAGGCGUUCCGUGCGUGAUGCCCUCUUUUGGGGUGAGAAAAGCAGCAGGUUAAUACCCCGCUGUUGUGACGGUACCCAAAGAAUAAGCACCGGCUAACUUCGUG